UGUGUGAAACCCAACAUGCUGUACAACGCAUACAUACCAGGUUAAAAGACUGCUUUCUAGUUUGCAGAUAAAGUAAGUGUUGCUAUUUGUUUAGUAGGUGGACACUAAAGAUUCGAAGCCAAAUAUGUAAAUGAAGUGGUUUGGCAGAGAUACUACUCUUUAGGAAAAUAGAUUUGGGUACCAUGUCAGAUAGUGUUUUUUGUUUUUGGUUUUGUUCUUGUUUUUGUUUUUUCCUUCAGGUUGACUGUUAAAGAAGACUUUUGCAAGGAUGGUGUGACCAUCUAGCAUGGGACCUACUGAUGGUCAGGGAGUGGUCAUAUGUUCCUGAGCGAAAGCACCAUAGGCAGAAAGACUGGGACUCUCAAGACCUGAGAUAUGGCCUCUGAGAUGGUGCAGCUGCAGGAGAGGUUCCUCUUGAUCACCGUGCUGACUGACAGAAGGUUGAGAUGAUCCAUGAUGCCUCUGCUGGGCUAUAAACACCGUUCCUUGAAGUACGUGAUUGUGUUUGGAAAUAAAGCUUUCUGAUGCAAAUUAA
rnacentral:lncRNA from 1 species